UUAUAAGGUAUCUGCACCUGAAUAAAAUAGGGUGUAAGAAGCGAACGCAGGGAACUGAAACAUCUAAGUACCUGCAGGAAAGGACAUCAACCGAGACUCCGCAAGUAGUGGCGAGCGAACGCGGACCAGGCCAGUGGCAAUUGUGAUUAAAGUGGAACGCUCUGGAAAGUGCGGCCGUAGUGGGUGACAGCCCCGUACGCGUAGAUAUCAUGAUUGUCCUAGAGUAGGGCGGGACACGAGAAAUCCUGUCUGAACAUGGGGAGACCACUCUCCAAGCCUAAGUACUCGUGCAUGACCGAUAGCGAACAAGUACCGUGAGGGAAAGGUGAAAAGCACCCCGACAAGGGGAGUGAAAUAGAACCUGAAACCGGAUGCCUACAAACAGUCGGAGCCCGCAAGGGUGACGGCGUACCUUUUGUAUAAUGGGUCAACGACUUAGUGUAACAAGCAAGCUUAAGCCGGUAGGUGUAGGCGCAGCGAAAGCGAGUCUGAAUAGGGCGAUAUAGUUUGUUGCAUUAGACCCGAAACCGAGUGAUCUAGCCAUGAGCAGGUUGAAGGUUGGGUAACACCAACUGGAGGACCGAACCCGCAUCUGUUGCAAUAGAUUGGGAUGACUUGUGGCUAGGGGUGAAAGGCCAAUCAAACUCGGAAAUAGCUGGUUCUCCGCGAAAUCUAUUUAGGUAGAGCGUCGAGCGAAUACCCCCGGGGGUAGAGCACUGGAUGGGCUAUGGGGACUCACCGUCUUACUGAUCCUAACCAAACUCCGAAUACCGGGGAGUACUACUCGGCAGACACACGGCGGGUGCUAACGUCCGUCGUGAAAAGGGCAACAACCCUAACCUCCAGCUAAGGUCCCCAAGUCAUGGCUAAGUGGGAAAGGAUGUGAGGAUCCCAAAACAACCAGGAUGUUGGCUUAGAAGCAGCCAUCAUUUAAAGAAAGCGUAACAGCUCACUGGUCUAAAUAAGGGUCUUUGCGCCGAAAAUGUAACGGGGCUGAAGCCAUGCACCGAAGCUGAGGAUGUGUAGCAAUACACGUGGUAGCGGAGCGUUCCGUAAGCUGAUGAAGGGAGACCCGUGAGGGCUCCUGGAGGUAUCGGAAGUGCGAAUGUUGACAUGAGUAACGAUAAAGAGGGUGAGAGACCCUCUCGCCGAAAGACCAAGGGUUCCUGCUUAAAGUUAAUCUGAGCAGGGUUAGCCGGCCCCUAAGACGAGGCGGACACGCGUAGUCGAUGGGAACCACGUUAAUAUUCGUGGGCCUGGUGGUAGUGACGGAUU
rnacentral:rRNA from 1 species